rnacentral:rRNA from 1 species
UACAGAGGUCUCAAGCGUUGUUCGGAUUCAUUGGGCGUAAAGGGUGCGUAGGCGGCGCGGUAAGUCGGGUGUGAAAUCUUGGAGCUUAACUCCGAAACUGCAUUCGAUACUGCCGUGCUUGAGGACUGGAGAGGAGACUGGAAUUUACGGUGUAGCGGUGAAAAUGCGUAGAUAUCGUAAGGAAGACCAGUGGCGAAAGGCGGGUCUCUGGACAGUUCCUGACGCUGAGGCACGAAGGUCAGGGGAGCAAAACGGG